rnacentral:rRNA from 1 species
AUUGAACGCUGGCGGCAGGCUUAACACAUGCAAGUCGAGCGGGGUGAUGGUGCUUGCACUAUCACUUAGCGGCGGACGGGUGAGUAAUGCUUAGGAAUCUGCCUAUUAGUGGGGGACAACAUCUCGAAAGGGAUGCUAAUACCGCAUACGUCCUACGGGAGAAAGCAGGGGAUCACUUGUGACCUUGCGCUAAUAGAUGAGCCUAAGUCGGAUUAGCUAGUUGGUGGGGUAAAGGCCUACCAAGGAGACGAUCUGUAGCGGGUCUGAGAGGAUGAUCGGCCACACUGGGACUGAGGCACGGCCCAGACUCCUACGGGAGGCAGCAGUGGGGAAUGUUGGCCAAUGGGGGGAACCCUGAUCUAGCCAUGCCGCGUGUGUGAAGAAGGCCUUAUGGUUGUAAAGCACUUUAAGCGAGGAGGAGGCUCUUUUGGUUAAUACCCAAGAUGAGUGGACGUUACUCGCAGAAUAAGCACCGGCUAACUCUGUGCCAGCAGCCGCCGUAA